GGGCAGUACGAGCCGGCCCCUCCCUGCCUGAGCGUCUCGGGCCCCAGAGAGCCCCCCAGAUGGGAGCCAGAGGUGCCCUGGCCGGAUCCGGGACACACCCAUGGGUAGGGAGGCCGUGGGGCACCGGCCUAUGGCCAGCACCUGGCGUGGCUCCAGCUGUCCAGCAGGUCCUCGCUCCGCCUCCCAGCUUCCCGGCCCCAGAGGCCCUGCGUCUGGGGUCAUCCUGCCUCUGAGCCUUGCUUUCCCGUCUGGACAGGGGGAGUAGGGCGUCCCCGGUUGCCUCAUCCUAGCCUGAAAUUAACGGUCACCAGUGAAGCUCGGCCGGCUGUGUUCGGUGUCAUGUGUGCCCACGUCCCACAGGUUCCCUGCCCUGUGCUCUGCCCUGUGAGCGCUGGCUGCCCGAGGUCACGUCCAGGACUCCUGUUCAGCCCCAGCAGGCCACAGCCCCUCUGCGUCUCCCUUCUCUCCCUGUGACGUUCUUUGUCCCCUCUCAUGGAGGUUGGCUUGAUUUCAGGGCAGACGGCCUCUCCUCAGAGCUCUGGCAAUGGUGCAGCCAUUUUUUCAAGACAAAUAUAAUGGAAAUUGCUUUGGA